rnacentral:rRNA from 1 species
AUUGAACGCUGGCGGCAGGCCUAACACAUGCAAGUCGAGCGAGCGGCGGACGGGUGAGUAAUGUCUGGGAAACUGCCUGAAGGAGGGGGAUAACUACUGGAACCGGUAGCUAAUACCGCAUACCAUCAGAUGGGCCCAGUUGGGAUUAGCUAGGGGGUGGGGUAACGGCUCACCUAGGCGAAGAUCCCUAGCUGUUCUGAGAGGAUGACCAGCAACACUGCAGCGGAGACACGGACCAGACUCCUACGGGAGGCAGCAGUGGGGAAUCUUGCACAAGGGGCGCAAGCCUGUUGCGGCCAUGCCGCGUGUGUGAAGAAGGCCUUCGGGUUGUAAAGCACUUUCAGCGGGGAGGCGUUACCCGCAGAAGAAGCACCGGCUAACUCCGUGCCAGCAGCCGCGGUAAUUC